UCUAUCCACUGAGCCAAACCGGUCAGGGCUGUUUCCUAAAUUUUUAUAUGUUGCUGAAAUUCAGAUGAACAAGCAAAAAUCCCCACACUUUUUCUUAAGAACUCACGGUCUUUAGCAAAAUUGCUGUGGCUUUCUCCCCUGCGCCCUUUAAAUGGUGGCUGUCCCAUCCUACCACCGUGACUUCUAAAUCCAUUCUCAUUUCUUUCUAAAACCCCAAGGCUUCAAAUGUCAUGUUAGGUACAUUCCAUUUACUAUCCUUCCCUGUUAGUUAUGACAGACCCCGAAAGCAUGGGCUUUUUUUACUCACUCUUUACCGCCCACUUCUACUUGGGUCUUCUUAAUUUCAAGCCUUCCACUCUCCAAUCAUUUCUUCCUAUUUUAUCCCUUGUUCUCCCAUACUUUAUUUCCACUAGGACCUAUACAUGAUCUGAUCACCCAUGUUCCUAACUCUUCCUGAAUCUUUCUUUCCUUUAUCCAAUACAAAGCCCACCAUUAAUCAUUAUAACCAAUCCCAACCCUAGUAUUUUCAUUUGGAUAAACAAAUGCUGGACAAAUCUAACUCUCUGCCCAGUCUGAGCCUAUUGUUCAAAAUGGCUCAAAAAACACAACCAUGCGGGUGGGCCCACUAUAAAUAACUGUCCUCUUCUAUUGCAUUUUUCAGUCUACAAAUAUGCUCUGAUUUCUCAUAAGCAAAAAUUCUUUAUAACAUAUUUUCCUCAUUGCCACAUCAUUUGUCUUCUUUUCAGCAAAAUUACUGCCAUACUCAUCUCAGAUUUCUUUCCAUUUGUUCUUGGACAUACACCAAUCAGGAUCUCACCCUAUGUAUACAUCAUUUGCCAAUCACUUUGGGGG